rnacentral:rRNA from 1 species
UGAGUAACCUGCUCUUAACUCUGGGAUAAGCCUGGGAAACUGGGUCUAAUACCGGAUAUGACUCCUCAUCGCAUGGUGGGGGGUGGAAAGCUUUUUGUGGUUUUGGAUGGACUCGCGGCCUAUGAGCUUGGUUGGUGAGGUAAUGGCUCACCAAGGCGACGACGGGUAGCCGGCCUGAGAGGGUGACCGGCCACACGUGGGACUGAGACACGGCCCAGACUCCGUACGGGAGGCAG